rnacentral:tRNA from 1 species
UGGGCGUGUAACUCAGGUGGAUAGAGUAAUUGCCUUCUAAGCAAUCUGCCGCAGGUUCGAGUCCUGCCACGCUCAU